UUCGUCCUACGGGGGGCAGCAGUGGGGAAUAUUGCACAAUGGGGGGAACCCUGAUGCAGCGACGCCGCGUGAGUGAAGAAGUAUUUCGGUAUGUAAAGCUCUGUCAGCAGGGAAGAAGAAAGACGGUACCUGACCAAGAAGCCCCGGCUAACUACGUGCCAGCAGCCGCGGUAAUACGUAGGGGGCAAGCGUUAUCCGGAUUUACUGGGUGUAAAGGGGGCGCAGACGGCAAUGCAAGCCAGGAGUGAAAGCCCG
rnacentral:rRNA from 1 species